rnacentral:snoRNA from 1 species
AUAUGAUGAUUCCCAUUUAGAUGACGAGUCUUAUUUGCGCUUGCAAUGCAGACAACAUCUUUUUAAUACCAUUCAUGCAAUUUCUGAAA